GAUGAACGCUGACAGAAUGCUUAACACAUCAGCAAUUGAUUGGUGGCGGACGGGUGAGUAACGCGUAAAGAACUUGCCUCACAGCUCGGGACAACAUUUAGAAAUGAAUGCUAAUACCUGAUUCUGUGAGAGAGCUUUGCGUCCCAUUAGCUAGUUGGAGAGGUAAUAGCGCACCAAGGCGAUGAUGGGUAGCCGGCCUGAGAGGGUGAACGGCCCAAAGGGGACUGAGACACGGCCAUUACUCCUACGGGAGGCAGCAGUGGGGAAUAUUGGACAAUGGACCGAAGUCUGAUCCAGCAAUUCGGUGUGCAAGAUGAAGUUUUCGGAAUGUAAAGUGCUUUCAGUUGGGAAGCGGUACCAACAGAAGAAGUGACGGCUAAAUACGUGCCAGCAGCCGCGGUAAUUC
rnacentral:rRNA from 1 species